AACACAAAAAUAUCACAAAUAUAACAUCUUAGACAUCUUCCUCAUUACAACAUUCAUAACAUAGUAUUUUCAAAUUUGCCGCUCGCAAGGUCGCCAACCUAAUUCCACACAAUACACUUGAUUCUCUUACAAUAAAUUUCUUUCAAACAAUAACUUCAAUGUCAAAUUCUCAGGGGCUCAUACUUCAUUAUAAUUCCUAGGUCUUAAUAUCAAUAAUUUUCUAUAUAUCAGGUACAAUUCUUUUCUUUUGCUACAUGGUUUUGGCUUCUGGUGGUAACUAGUCAAUUGAGGUUUUUUCAGUAACAACAUGGCAUGAAAUAAUGGUAAUAAAUUAUAAAACAUAAAAAUAAAUAUAUUAACACUGAUAAAUACAAUAAAUAACAAUAAUGAGUAACUUUUGGGUAUAAUACUUUCUUCAUAAUCAUAUGUUUGACAAGCGCUAUAUAUUUGAUUCAGGUGGCUUUGGCCAGCUGACUGAAUUUUGGAUUCAUACAUCAUAAUUUGCUAGCUUCCCAUCUUACAGCACAAAACUAACCUAUUUGUCACAUUUUCCACAUUUGAGGUAAUUUAAUUAAUUCAUUCUCUACUAUCCCCGUUUAUGUUCUUUUUUUUAUAAUGUAGAUUAUUAAAUUACAUACUUAAAAAAUUGUUCUUUGUCUGUUUCAGGCUUCUAACAGUUGGAAGGAAAAAAAACGCUGGAUUGUUGCUAUGCGGUCUAGGCCAUGAUAGGAAAGCUGCACUGAAUUCGACCAAUGUCCUGAGUUCGUGAUUAUGGAUCUGGAAAAACAUCAGAGGUUCACCGCUUAACAAGCUGGAUAAUCAAAGAUGCCAUAAAUUCCAAGAGGAUUCUUGGCGGUGAUUGAAGAUAUCUGGGCAGUGGACUCCAUCGCGCCCCCCUCAGCGUCGAUCAUCGCUACUACCACCGUCUGCAGUGUGUCUGCUACCUCAUUUUGCACGGACAAAAAGAGACUCAUUUUUAAAAAUGGAUAAAGUGUCAAGUGUUUUUAAAAAAGUGAAAGUUUUGGCUAAUGAAACAUUGUGUGUGACACAAGAGAGGAUAGGCCUAUGAAUAUUAAUUACAAGCCAGGUAACCUAUUUAUUACUUAAUCUCUUAUAAUAUAAUAAUACUAUUCAUUGAUUCCUGACUAGCUUACAGACUGUGACUUAUACUUAAAAUAU